rnacentral:rRNA from 1 species
AUUGAACGCUGGCGGCAGGCCUAACACAUGCAAGUCGAGCGAGCGGCGGACGGGUGAGUAAUGUGUGGGAAACUGCCUGAGGGAGGGGGCUAACUACAGGAAAAGCUAGCUCAUACCGCACAUCCUACGAGGUGCCCAGAUGGGAGUUGCUAGUGGGGGGGGGAACGGCUCACCCCGGCGACGCUCCCUAGCUGGUCUGAGAGGAUGACCAGCCACACUGGGACUGAGACACGGUCCAGACUCCUACGGGAGGCAGCAGUGGGGAAUAUUGGACAAUGGGGGCAAGCCUGAUGCAGCCAUGCCGCGUGUGUGAAGAAGGCCUUCGGGUUGUAAAGCACUUUCAGCGGGGAGGCGUUACCCGCAGAAGAAGCACCGGCUAACUCCGUGCCAGCAGCCGCGGUAAUAC